rfam:Corynebacterium durum F0235 genomic scaffold Scfld0, whole genome shotgun sequence.
CACUUAUACAAACUGAAUGCAGACAGGGGCGGGAAACCAUUGGCUCCCCCAGAAAGCCACAGGAAGUGCUCACCAGCGCACUUCCCCCAGGAUGAAGUUCAGAUUAUCCCUGAACCGGACGGUGGUGCUCCUCGGUCCGAAUCCGACAGCUAACUUCGCAGGCGACAAUUUUUUAUGAGAGGAACA